rnacentral:rRNA from 1 species
CAGCCCUAAACGAUGCGCGUUAGGUGUAUCGGUGACCACGAGUCACCGAGGUGCCGAAGGGAAACCGUGAAACGUGCCGCCUGGGAAGUACGGUCGCAAGGCUGAAACUUAAAGGAAUUGGCGGGGGAGGCACCACAACGGGUGGAGCCUGCGGGUUUAAUUUGGACUCAACGCCGGGAAGCUCACCGGAUAAGACAGCGGAAUGAUUGCCGGGCUGAAGACCCUGCAUGACCAGCUGAGAGGAGGUGCAUGGCGUAGUCGUGU